GGGGCCGACCGGAAUUGACAGCUUGUGCAUGUCGCGAGUAAGCGUGUCGGGAGUUGGAUGAAUCUCCCGUCAAAAAGCCGUCCAAAACACAACUGGCGAGUAUAGCUACGCCAUGGCUGCUUAGUCUAGGUACUAAGUAAUGUCAUCGUCCCGCACCUGUACUCCUUCUCACGGGUGAGUUCGGGGCGUCGUAAGAGUUAGGAUAGCGUCGGAGGAGGUGUGACUUCGGCGUGAAACCCAACUGCAUCUAAGGGGAAAUCAAGGGCCUGAUGUGCGCCUGGUUUUUCACGAAAAUUCAAGCACAGAUACACCCGUAGAAAGCUCGACGACUUCCUUGUCUGGACCAGGGUUCGAAUCCCUGCGGCUCCACUG
rnacentral:tmRNA from 1 species